UGGGGAAUCUUGCGCAAUGGGCGGAAGCCUGACGCAGCAACGCCACGUGAGCGAAGACGGCCUUCGGGUUGUAAAGCUCUGUCAGGAGGGACGAAGCCACUCGGGUGAAUAGCCCAGAGGGUGACGGUACCUCCAGAGGAAGCCCCGGCUAACUACGUGCCAGCAGCCGCGGUAAUACGUAGGGGGCGAGCGUUGUCCGGAAUCAUUGGGCGUAAAGCGCGUGUAGGCGGCUUGCCAAGUCCGGUGUGAAAUCUCGGGGCUCAACCCCGAAACUGCAUUGGAAACUGGCUUGCUAGAGUCCGGAAGAGGAGAGUGGAAUUCCUGGUGUAGCGGUGAAAUGCGCAGAUAUCAGGAAGAACACCGGUGGCGAAGGCGGCUCUCUGGGACGGUACUGACGCUGAGACGCGAAAGCGUGGGUAGCGAACAG
rnacentral:rRNA from 1 species